UGCUUGUUUGUUGGGUGCUUGUUUG
rnacentral:piRNA from 1 species